CCCCUAGACGUUCUGGGCUGCACGCGCGCUACAAUAAUACGCUCAGCGAGUAUCACCGAGCUCGAAAGGGCAAGGUAAACAAUAGAAAAGGUACUGUAAUGGUUAUAGAUCCUUGUAAUUAUUGAUCUUCAACGAGGAAUUCCUAGUAAGUAUGUGUCAUCAUCACGCACUGAUUACGUCCCUGCCCUUUGUACACACCGCCCGUCGCUCCUACCGAUUGAGUGAGCCGAUGAAACUGCCGGAUGUGGACUAUUCAUAGUCUGCAGAAGAUAUUUGAAUCGUAGCGCUUAGAGGAAGGAGAAGUCGUAACA
rnacentral:rRNA from 1 species